ACUAUUGUGUAUUUCUCCGUCACAACAUAUGAAUGAGAAAGAAAGGGGUAAUAGAUGAAUAAGGAUGGAAGGGGUAAUGGCAAACUUGGUAGUGAGAUGAUGGAAGUUCUAUGGCGAAAAAAAGAAGAAAAUAAAAGAGAGAUUUAU